CCUACGGGUGGCAGCAGUGAGGAAUAUUGGUCAAUGGCCGUAAGGCUGAACCAGCCAAGUCGCGUGAAGGAAGAAGGAUCUAUGGUUUGUAAACUUCUUUUAUAGGGGAAUAAAGGUAUCCACGUGUGGAUAUUUGCAUGUACCCUAUGAAUAAGCAUCGGCUAACUCCGUGCCAGCAGCCGCGGUAAUACGGAGGAUGCGAGCGUUUUCCGGAUUUAUUGGGUUUAAAGGGUGCGUAGGUUGGUUUUUAAGUCAGCGGUGAAAGUUUGUGGCUCAACCAUGAAAUUGCCGUUGAAACUGGGAGACUUGAGUGUGUUAGAGGUAGGCGGAAUGCGUGGUGUAGCGGUGAAAUGCGUAGAUAUUACGCGGAACUCCGGUGGCGAAGGCAGCUUUCUGGUCCAUAACUGACGCUGAGGCGCGAAAGCGUGGGGAUCAAACAGGAUUAGAUACCCGAGUAGUC
rnacentral:rRNA from 1 species